CGUCAGGAUGAACGCUAGCGACAGGCUUAACACAUGCAAGUCGAGGGGCAGCAGUAAAAGUAGCAAUACUUGGUGGCGACCGGCGCACGGGUGAGUAACGCGUAUGCAACCUACCUAUCAGAGGGGAAUAACCCGGCGAAAGUCGGACUAAUACCGCAUAAAACAGGGGCACCGCAUGGUGAUAUUUGUUAAAGAAAUUCGCUGAUAGAUGGGCAUGCGUUCCGUUAGGUAGUUGGUGAGGUAACGGCUCACCAAGCCGACGAUGGAUAGGGGAACUGAGAGGUUGGUCCCCCACACUGGUACUGAGACACGGACCAGACUCCUACGGGAGGCAGCAGUGAGGAAUAUUGGUUAAUGGGCGGGAGCCUGAACCAGCCAAGUCGCGUGAAGGAAGAAGGAUCUAUGGUUCGUAAACUUCUUUUGCAGGGGAAUAAAGUGCAGGACGUGUCCUGUUUUGUAUGUACCCUGAGAAUAAGGAUCGGCUAACUCCGUGCCAGCCGCCGC
rnacentral:rRNA from 1 species